GGGCUUCAGGGACAGAGGCUUCAGUACGUAAUGAUGUCUAACCAGACCUUUUUUUUUUCUCUUUCUAAUCAGACUUUUACAAUUUAUUUUUACUUUUUUAUUUUUUAGAUGGAGUUUCGCUGGUGUUACCCAGACUGGAGUGCAAUGACACGAUCUCAGCUCACCGCAACCUCCGCCUUCUUGGUUCAAGCAAUUCUCCUGCCUCAGCCUCCCGAGUAGCUGGGACUACAGGCGCGCACCACCAUGCCCAGCUAAUUUUUGUAGUUUUAGUAGAGACGGGGUUUCACCUUGUUGACCAGGAUGGUCUCGAUCUCUUGACCUCAUGAUCCACCCGCCUCGGCCUCCCAAAGUGCUGGGAUUAUAGGCAUGAGCCACCGUGCCUGGCCCUAAUCAGUCUUUAAUAACAUUAUUUUGAACAAUUAAAUUGACUCUUUAGGUGGCUUCUACUUAGGACAAAGGAUACUGGCUUUCCAUUUCCGAAUGUCCACUUGAUUCAAAGUUUCCGUUUGAAAUACAUUUAAUUAAGCCAGGAGAAACGGUGAGGAAAUAAUAGUGCAUGAAUAGAACAACAUCACGAAGCUGGAACUUGAAUGUCUGAAGUUGGGGAAUGGAUGCCUGCACCUCAUUUUCAGGCUGCAGUGCAGUGGUAUAAUCACAGAUUUACUGCAGUUUCCUAAUUCCUGGGCUCAAGUGAUCCUCCUGCCUCAGCCUCCUGAGUAGGUGGGACCACAGCUUCAUUUUACUCUCAGGAUGGAAGAGCUGAGCCUCCAUGUUCAUGCCCAGAUGAGUGUGAAAAACAAGUCAACAAAUAAACACAAUCUUCUACCAGAAGACCCUGAAACAAAGCAAACAGCUGCCCGCAUUGCUGAAGCAGAGCAGAGCAUCCCUGGUGUCACCCAGUAGGAGACAGAUUCCACAUGGUGACACUGGGGCUCGUGUCAUAUGGAAACAAGAAGAUCUUGGUUCUUCCACUUAAUGGCUGUGGGACCCGAGAAACUGACUUCCUGUGCUGCAAUUUUCUUGCGUAUAAAAUGGGGACGAUACUGGUGCCUGCCCCAUAGGAUCAUUUUGCAGAUAACAUAAGAUAAUACAGAUAAAGCAUUUAGAAUAAUUCACACUGUAUGGUGUGCCUGAUAAUUGUCAGCUAUUUCAGUUACAAUUCCUUUUUCUUUUAUUUUUUUUGAGACUAGGUCUUGCUCUGUGGCCCAGGC
rnacentral:lncRNA from 1 species